GACGAACGCUCGCGGCGUGCUUAACACAUGCAAGUCGAACGGGCCUUGUCCCCUUUUUUUUUGGGGGUGGGGUUAGUGGCGAACGGGUGAGUAACACGUGAGUAACCUGCCCCUCACUUCUGGAUAACCGCUUGAAAGGGUGGCUAAUACGGGGUGUUCUGGCCUGCUCGCAUGGGUGGGUUUGGAAAGAUUCGACCGGUUUUGGUUGUUUUGGUGGGGGAUGGGCUCGCGGCCUAUCAGCUUGUUGGUGGGGUGAUGGCCUGGCAAGGCUUGGACGGGUAGCCGGCCUGGGAGGGGUAGCGGGCACACUGGGACGGCGACACGGCCUAGACUCCUACGGGGGGCAGCAGUGGGGAGUAUUGCACAAUGGGCGCAAGCCUGAUGCAGCGACGCCGCGUGAGGGAUGGAGGCCGUCGGGUUGUGAACCUCUUUCGCCAGUGAAGAAGGUCCUGCUCUUUGUGGUGGGGUUGACGGUAGCUGGGUUAAUGAAGCGCCGGCUAACUACGUG
rnacentral:rRNA from 1 species